CCUACCUGAGUUGUGAGUAAAAACACAGAUAUUGAUGGAUCUGUUUGAAACAAGUUGAUGCGAGCUUCUCUUUCAAAUAUUUUGUGAAUAGUACCAUCUACACGAAUAAUCUUUAUUUCCUGAGUUCUUCAACUGGCAGACCAAGAGUUUCACCGCUCAUUGUAGACAACAAACGAGGAUGAUCACAAAUUUUUUUCAUCACAUUCAACUCGGCCAAAGGACUUCUCUUCGUCAUUAAAACCUGAAACAAACAUGACUCUACUGAAUUCCAACACUUACAAACAUUUUUGAAAAAUGCGGAGUUGGCUUUGUGAAAGAUACACCCAGACUAUAAAGUCGUUCUUGCGAGUUAGGUAUGGAGUCUUUGGUCUGAAAAAAAAUUAUGUAAGAACAACCAAGACAUAAAAUAAUUAAACUUCUUAAUGUAGGUAACAAUACUCAGUAUUAUCAGGCUCAUUUUCUUUGUCUGAUGCUCCAUCCACAUAAUCCGCCAUGUCAUUAUUUGAUUUAGUCUUUUUCA